GGUGAGGAUACGGCCUACCAAGGCGACGAUCAGUAGCCGCCCUGAGAGGGGGAUCGGCCACAUUGGAACUGUGACACGGUCCAAACUCCUACGGGAGGCAGCAGUGGGGAAUCUUGCACAAUGGGCGAAAGUCAGAUGCAGCAACGCCGCGUUAGUGAUGACGGCCUUCGGGUCGUAAAACUCUGUCCUCAAGGAGGAUAAUGACGGUACUUGAGGAGUAAGCCCCGGCUAACUACGUGUCAGCAGCCGCGGUAUUACGUUGGUGGCUAGCGUUAUCCGGCUCUACUGGGCGCACAGGGU
rnacentral:rRNA from 1 species